UCUGGCGGCAGUAGCGCGGUGGUCCCACCUGACCCCAUGCCGAACUCAGAAGUGAAACGCCGGAGCCCCGAUGGUAGUGUGGGUCGCCCCC
rnacentral:rRNA from 1 species